rnacentral:rRNA from 1 species
CUCCCUGACCAAGAUGACACCAUCCACUGGAACUUAACCACCUCGGGGACAUACUCGGCCGCCUCUGCCUACGGCGCACAGUUCCUUGGCUCCUACUCUCGUUUUGACACAACCAAGGUCUGGUCUGCAAACGCUGAGCCCAAGUGCAAGUUCUUUGCUUGGCUUGUUCUACACGGAAGAAUCCUCACUGCAGAUAUGCUGGCUGUGAGGGGAUGGCCUCAUGAACCCAGAUGCCUGCUUUGUCUCCAACAGCCUGAAACAGCAACCCACCUCUGCAAAGACUGCCCCUUCACGGUCGCGGUCUGGAACCAGGUCAACACCUGA